rnacentral:lncRNA from 1 species
UAGUAGGUUCUUAUAACCGGUUAUAACUGGUUGGUAGGUUCUUAUAAAGUUAAACAUUCACAUGACAUAUGACCCAGCCAUUCUGCCUUUAGAUAUUCAUCCAAAAGAAAUAAAAAUAUAUGCCUAUAAAAGCCUUGCACAAGAAUGGACACAGAAGACUUAUUCAUUAAAGCUCCAAAGAGGAAACGGCCCAGGGGAAUAUCAACAGGCAAAUGAAGAAACAAAGUGUGAGGCAACCUCCCGUCACUCAACAGGUGGCUGAGGGACCCCCGCACCAGGGCAGCACCUGCUGGACUUGGGUUCACCAGCGAACGAGCAGGUCUGAUGCUCCUCUCAGGGUCUAAGCCGAAUCCAAGAAUCUGAUGAGUGUGAAGACACUGGAAGAACCUGAUCACGCAGGCUCCUUUCUCAAGCACCCCGAUGCCCGCAGGUGAAGGGGCACAUGCCAAGGACAAGCCCGCCUCAGCCCUGGACAUCGUUCAUCGCGCGAGUGAGCAAUGCUUGAGUGAGAAACCUGACAGCGGUGUCCCCAUAACUUCCACCGCCUCUGGAGCCACCCGGCAAAAGCCAGCGUCUGACAAUCCUUCAGUAAUAGUGAAGACACCUGUUAUAUUGCUGUCCAGCCAAAAGCUCCUUGUUGCAGGAUGAACAGCCCCAGUUGUUUCAAACAUGCCCCACAUCUCAUGGCCUCCACACAGGUCGUAUUAAACACCUCUAACAGAGACUGCACGCCAAGUGUGGCUCCUCAAAGACCUUGCCUGGGGACUCUGCCACUGAUGGCUGCGACCUGCACACUCCUGAGAGCUCCUUCCUGGAACUGCCUCAUUUCUCUCAUCAUCCUUGAUUUUUUGAGAUGGAGUCUCAGUCUUGCUCUGUCACCCAGGCUGGAGUGCAGUGGUGCGAUCUCUGCUCACUG